UACGAAGGGGGCUAGCGUUGCUCGGAAUCACUGGGCGUAAAGGGCGCGUAGGCGGCCGAUCAAGUCGGAGGUGAAAGCCCAGGGCUCAACCCUGGAAUGGCCUUCGAUACUGGUUGGCUCGAGACCGGAAGAGGUCAGUGGAACUGCGAGUGUAGAGGUGAAAUUCGUAGAUAUUCGCAAGAGCACCAGUGGCGAAGGCGGCUGACUGGUCCGGUUCUGACGCUGAGGCGCGAAAGCGUGGGGAGCAAACAGG
rnacentral:rRNA from 1 species